UCGAACGCGGUUACCGCAGUUCCGCAAGGAAUUGUGGUGACUGAGUGGCGAACGGGUGAGUAACACGUGGGUGACCUACCUUCGAGCGGGGGAUAACGUCCCGAAAGGGACGCUAAUACCGCAUAACAUCCUGCCUUUGAACAGGUGGAGAUCAAAGCUGGGGAUCGCAAGACCCGGCACUUGGAGAGGGGCCCGCGUCUGAUUAGCUAGUUGGUGAGGUAACGGCUCACCAAGGCUACGAUCAGUAUCCGGCCUGAGAGGGCGGACGGACACACUGGGACUGAGACACGGCCCAGACUCCUACGGGAGGCAGCAGUGGGGAAUUGUUCACAAUGGGCGCAAGCCUGAUGACGCAACGCCGCGUGGAGGAUGAAGGUCUUCGGAUCGUAAACUCCUGUUGCUCGGGACGAAAAGCUCCGACCUAACACGUCGGAGUCUGACGGUACCGGGUGAGGAAGCCCCGGCUAACUCUGUGCCAGCAGCCGCGGUAAUACAGAGGGGGCAAGCGUUGUUCGGAAUUACUGGGCGUAAAGGGCGCGUAGGCGGCCUGUUAAGUCGAACGUGAAAUCCCCGGGCUCAACCCGGGAACUGCGUCCGAUACUGGCAGGCUUGAAUCCGGGAGAGGGAUGUGGAAUUCCAGGUGUAGCGGUGAAAUGCGUAGAUAUCUGGAGGAACACCGGUGGCGAAGGCGGCAUCCUGGACCGGUAUUGA
rnacentral:rRNA from 1 species